rnacentral:tRNA from 1 species
GAGGGUAUAGCUCAGUGGUAGAACAUGUGCCUAGCAUACACAGGGUCCUAGGUUCAAUCCCCAGUACCUCCA